rnacentral:rRNA from 1 species
GAACGAGAAAGUGGAGCAAUCCAUGAGUAAAGUGGCGACCGGGUGAGUAACACGUGACUAACCUACCUCCGAGUGGGGAAUAACUCCGGGAAACCGGGGCUAAUACCGCAUAACACCGCAAGAUCAAAGCAGCAAUGCGCUUGGAGAGGGGGUCGCGGCUGAUUAGCUCGUUGGCGGGGUAACGGCCCACCAAGGCGAAGAUCGGUAUCCGGCCUGAGAGGGCGCACGGACACACUGGAACUGAAACACGGUCCAGACUCCUACGGGAGGCAGCAGUGGGGAAUUUUGCGCAAUGGGGGAAACCCUGACGCAGCAACGCCGCGUGGAGGAUGAAGUCCCUUGGGACGUAAACUCCUUUCGAUCGGGACGAUAAUGACGGUACCGGAAGAAGAAGCACCGGCUAACUCUGUG